rnacentral:rRNA from 1 species
AUACGGAGGAUGCGAGCGUUAUCCGGAUUUAUUGGGUUUAAAGGGUGCGUAGGCGGACGCUUAAGUCAGUUGUGAAAGUUUGCGGCUCAACCGUAAAAUUGCAGUUGAUACUGGGUGUCUUGAGUACAGUAGAGGCAGGCGGAAUUCGUGGUGUAGCGGUGAAAUGCUUAGAUAUCACGAAGAACUCCGAUUGCGAAGGCAGCUUGCUGGACUGUAACUGACGCUGAUGCGCGAAAGUGUGGGUAUCAAACAGGAUUAGAUACCCUGGUAGUCCACACAGUAAACGAUGAAUACUCGCUGUUUGCGAUAUACAGUAAGCGGCCAAGCGAAAGCGUUAAGUAUUCCACCUGGGGAGUACGCCGGCAACGGUGAAACUCAAAGGAAUUGGCGGGG